AACGAACGCUGGCGGCAUGCCUAACACAUGCAAGUCGAACGAGACCUUCGGGUCUAGUGGCGCACGGGUGCGUAACGCGUGGGAACCUGCCCUUAGGUUCGGAAUAACUCCCCGAAAGGGGUGCUAAUACCGGAUAAUGUCUUCGGACCAAAGAUUUAUCGCCUUUGGAUGGGCCCGCGUUGGAUUAGCUAGUUGGUAGGGUAAAAGCCUACCAAGGCGACGAUCCAUAGCUGGUCUGAGAGGAUGAUCAGCCACACUGGGACUGAGGCACGGCCCAGACUCCUACGGGAGGCAGCAGUGGGGAAUAUUGGACAAUGGGCGAAAGCCUGAUCCAGCAAUGCCGCGUGAGUGAUGAAGGCCUUAGGGUUGUAAAGCUCUUUACCCGGGAUGAUAAUGACAGUACCGGGAGAAUAAGCUCCGGCUAACUCCGUG
rnacentral:rRNA from 1 species